GGAUAGUUAGAGGAAAGGAUCACCACUGGAGAUUGCCAAGCGACGUGGUUACGGUGAUUUGGUUGAAAUGAUGGAAGAAGCCAUAAGAUCAAAGACACCGAAGAGAGAGGAGCUCGUAGCUACAGUGAGGAAAUAUAAACAUAAAGUGACGUUACUGAAAAGACAGUUGGCAGAGAAAGACGUGCAAUUACAAUCAAAGAGCAAAAGAGUGGCAAAGAAAGACAGGGAGAUUGCAUCUUAUAAAACACGAUUGGCAAGAAUUAGAGACGUAAGCUAAUGUUGAGAGUGAUGAGGUUUGUUCAGUUAGAUAGCAUUCG